UGCCCGGUAGCUAAAUGCGGAAAAGAUAAGUGCUGAAAGCAUCUAAGCACGAAACUUGCCCCGAGAUGAGUUCUCCCUGAGACUUUAAGUCUCCUGAAGGAACGUUGAAGACGACGACGUUGAUAGGUCGGGUGUGUAAGCGCAGCGAUGCGUUGAGCUAACCGAUACUAAUGAACCGUGAGGCUUAACCUU
rnacentral:rRNA from 1 species